CAAAAAGACAGGCAAAACUCUGCU
rnacentral:piRNA from 1 species